rnacentral:rRNA from 1 species
UGCAAGUCGAACGCAUUUGUAGGUUGAAAUGAUAUGAAGAACUUGUUCAGAUUUGAUUUCAACAUUGCAAUGAGUGGCGAACGGGUGAGUAACACGUGGGAAACCUACCUCUUAGCAGGGGAUAACAUUUGGAAACAAAUGCUAAUACCGUAUAAUAAUUAAAACCGCAUGGUUUUAGUUUAAAAGAUGGUCUUGCUAUCACUAAGAGAUGGUCCCGCGGUGUAUUAGUUAGUUGGUGAGGUAAUGGCUCACCAAGACAAUGAUACAUAGCCGAGUUGAGAGACUGACCGGCCACAAUGGGACUGAGACACAGCCCAUACUCCUACGGGAGGCAGCAGUAGGGAAUCUUCCACAAUGGACGAAAGUCUGAUGGAGCAACGCCGCGUGUGUGAUGAAGGGUUUCGGCUCGUAAAACACUGUUGUAAGAGAAGAAUGACAUUGAGAGUAACUGUUCAAUGUGUGACGGUAUCUUACCAGAAAGGAACGGCUAAAUACGUG